AAACUGCCCUCAGGGCAAAGAAGCCUGCAGAAUAAUUGGGAGGAGUCUGGCAGGAAGGAAGCCAAGAGCUGCCUCCUGCCCCUGAGGGGAGGAGUCCAUCCUCUUCUAUAGGAUACACCUGUUGGCUUGUUUGUCCUUCCUUCCCCUUUCUGGGAAUUGUUCUCCAUCAACAUGUUUAUGGGGACAGCCAUUUCUAUACAAUGUGACCUGUAUUGAUCUAUUUUGUGUUGCUAUAAAUAAAUACCUGAGGCUGGUAAUUUUUAAAGAAGAGAGGUUAAUUUGGCCCAUAAUUCUGCAGGCUGUACAAGAAGCAUGGCACCAGCAUCUGCUUCUGGUGAGGCCGCAGGAAGCUUCCACUCAUGGUGGAAGGUGGAGGAGGAGCAGGCGUGUUAUAUGGCAAGAGCGAGAGCAAGAGAGAGAGCAGAAGGUGUCAGGCAACCAGCUCUCAUGUGAACUAAUGAGCAAGGACUCACUCAUCACCAAGGGGAUGGCCCCAGCCAUUCCUGAGAGAUCCGCCCCCUAACCCAAACACCUCCCACCAAGCCCCACCUCCAAGACUGGCGGUCAAAUUUUAACAUGAGACCUUCAUUAUCA
rnacentral:lncRNA from 1 species